rnacentral:rRNA from 1 species
GACGAACGCUGGCGGCGUGCCUAACACAUGCAAGUCGAGCGAUGAAGUUUCCUUCGGGAAACGGAUUAGCGGCGGACGGGUGAGUAACACGUGGGUAACCUGCCUUGUAGAGGGGGAUAGCCUUCCGAAAGGAAGAUUAAUWCCGCAUAAGAUUGUAGUUUCGCAUGAAACAGCAAUUAAAGGAGCAAUCCGCUACAAGAUGGACCCGCGGCGCAUUAGCUAGUUGGUGAGGUAACGGCUCACCAAGGCGACGAUGCGUAGCCGACCUGAGAGGGUGAUCGGCCACAUUGGGACUGAGACACGGCCCAGACUCCUACGGGAGGCAGCAGUGGGGAAUAUUGCACAAUGGGGGAAACCCUGAUGCAGCAACGCCGCGUGAGUGAUGACGGUCUUCGGAUUGUAAAGCUCUGUCUUUGGGGACGAUAAU